GAUGAACGCUAGCGGGAGGCCUAAUACAUGCAAGUCGAACGGUAAGGUCCCUUCGGGGAUACACGAGUGGCGGACGGGUGCGUAACGCGUACGAAACAUACCUUCAACAGGGAGAUACCUCCGGGAAAACUGGAAAUAAUACCCCAUAGUAUUGAGAUAUCGCAUGAUAUUUCAAUUAAAGCUUUGGCGGUUGAAGAUUGUCGUGCGUCUGAUUAGCUAGUUGGUGAGGUAACGGCUCACCAAGGCGACGAUCAGUAGCUGGUCUGAGAGGAUGAUCAGCCACACUGGAACUGAGACACGGUCCAGACUCCUACGGGAGGCAGCAGUGGGGAAUUUUGGACAAUGGCGCAAGCCUGAUCCAGCAAUGCCGCGUGCAGGAUGAAGGCCUCGGUUGUAACGUAGA
rnacentral:rRNA from 1 species